rnacentral:lncRNA from 1 species
AACAGAUGCAGCUUGAGAGUAAUACAAAGGUUCAGAUUCCAAAGUAGAAGAAGAGGAACCAGAAAAGGCAGGGAGUUGGCAGACAUAAUCCUUAAGAUUUGAAGGAGGAUUAUGAUGUCUAGUGGACUUUCUAGGAGCAGGAAUAGUGUGUGAAGGAGAUAAAACAGGGGAAGAUAUAUCAGGAUUGAAAGAAGGAAGGGAAGAUGGAGCAGUAUCAGUAAAAUCAGGAACACGAGAAUCAAAUGUAGGAGAAGGAGGGGAGGAAGCAUGUGUUGGAAAAUCUGUGUCAGGGGAAUGUUCAGUAGGAGUAACAAAAGGAAAAGAUGAAGGAGAUGGAUGAGAAAAAGAAGGUUUAUUCUUAAAAGGAAAUAAUUUUCAUGGAAUAC